AUUGAACGCUGGCGGCAGGCCUAAUACAUGCAAGUAGGACGCAGUUGCGAACGGGUGAGUAACGCGUAGGUAACUACCUAUUAGAGGGGGAUAACUAUUGGAAACGAUAGCUAAUACCGCAUACUAGUAGAUGGACCUGCGUUGUAUUAGCUAGUAGGUCGGGUAAUGGCCUACCUAGGCAACGAUACAUAGCCGACCUGAGAGGGGGAUCGGCCAAGCUGGGACUGAGACAAGGCCCAGACUCCUUCGGGAGGCAGCAGUAGGGAAGCUUCGGCAAUGGGGGGAACCCUUGCCGAGCAACGCCGCGUGAUUGAAGAAGGUUUUCGGAUCGUAAAGCUAUGUUGUGAAGGAAGCGGUACUUAACCAGAAAGGGACGGCUAACUACGUGCCAGCAGCCGCGGUAAUAC
rnacentral:rRNA from 1 species